rnacentral:rRNA from 1 species
AGACUGGGAUAACUUCGGGAAACCGGAGCUAAUACCGGAUAAUAUUUUGAACCGCAUGGUUCAAAAGUGAAAGACGGUCUUGCUGUCACUUAUAGAUGGAUCCGCGCUGCAUUAGCUAGUUGGUAAGGUAACGGCUUACCAAGGCAACGAUGCAUAGCCGACCUGAGAGGGUGAUCGGCCACACUGGAACUGAGACACGGUCCAGACUCCUACGGGAGGCAGCAGUAGGGAAUCUUCCGCAAUGGGCGAAAGCCUGACGGAGCAACGCCGCGUGAGUGAUGAAGGUCUUCGGAUCGUAAAACUCUGUUAUUAGGGAAGAACAUAUGUGUAAGUAACUGUGCACAUCUUGACGGUACCUAAUCAGAAAGCCACGGCUAACUACGUGCCAGCAGCCGCGGUAAUACGUAGGUGGCAAGCGUUAUCCGGAAUUAUUGGGCGUAAAGCGCGCGUAGGCGGUUUUUUAAGUCUGAUGUGAAAGCCCACGGCUCAACCGUGGAGGGUCAUUGGAAACUGGAAAACUUGAGUGCAGAAGAGGAAAGUGGAAUUCCAUGUGUAGCGGUGAAAUGCGCAGAGAUAUGGAGGAACACCAG